UGGANGACUCUCGGCAAUGGAUAUCUCGGCUCUCGCAUCGAUGAAGAACGUAGCGAAAUGCGAUACCUGGUGUGAAUUGCAGAAUCCCGUGAACCAUCGAGUCUUUGAACGCAAGUUGCGCCCGAGGCCAUCCGGCCAAGGGCACGCCUGCCUGGGCNUCACGA
rnacentral:rRNA from 1 species